rnacentral:lncRNA from 1 species
GGUAGAGAGGCAAGGACUCAUGGUGUGAUAUCUGGCAUGUUCUCCAGGACAUCUCUCCGCAGAUCUGGCCACUGAACAACUGAACAAAGAUCUCCAAGCCCGAUCCAAUUGAGAUGACCUACUGCACCAGCAGGGCUCAGCUAUCCAGAUACAGAUAAGAACAGAGCCCUGUUGCUUUCCUUGAAGACCACUGCCUCGGAAGUAUUAGGCCAUUCCUUCAAUGGGCCCUAGGCAUGUAUUCUUGUGGCUGUAAUGGUUUGCUUACU